GGGGAUGUAGCUCAAAUGGUAGAGCGCUCGCUUUAGUAUGCAAGGAGUGGUACAUGUUCGAUUCCCUGCAUCCCCA
rnacentral:tRNA from 1 species